GAUGAACGGCUGGCGGCGUGCUUAACACAUGCAAGUCGAACGAGAAUCAACGGAUUGAGGAUUCGUCCAAAUGAAGUUGAGGAAAGUGGCGGACGGGUGAGUAACGCGUGAGGAACCUGCCUCGGAGUGGGGAAUAACAGUUGGAAACAGCUGCUAAUACCGCAUAAUGUGUUUUGGGGGCAUCCCCGAAAUACCAAAGAUUUAUCGCUGAAAGAUGGGCUCGCGUCUGAUUAGCUAGUUGGUGGGGUAACGGCCUACCAAGGCGACGAUCAGUAGCCGGACUGAGAGGUUGAACGGCCACAUUGGGACUGAGAUACGGCCCAG
rnacentral:rRNA from 1 species